AAUGUAAGUCCAGAUACUCCAAGUCAAGAGCCUUGCCACAAAUACCACGUCCUUCACAUGCUUCAUGACUUUCAAACUAAGCUAUCGGAGCAAGCUUCCCACUCCGCCGCGCCGGAGCUCAUCACCGGAAGCGGCGGAGCUCAAACCAUACAAUCAGAACACCAAAUGAAUCCUCAUUGUCCCAAGAUUACAGAUCCAUACACGAAAUAACCAAAACCCGCAAGCACAGUUCAAAUUGAAGAAAAGAAGUCUAGGAACCCUAAGGCUUUAAACAAAAAUUAAAUUAUGAAGAGGAAGAAUCAAAUCCCCAUACCAGAGAGCUUUGAUUCUCUAAACCUUGCUCUAUAUGGUAGUAUGUAUAUCUGAAGCAACCGUGAAAUCUGAAGUUCUACCUCAUGGAGAAUAUGACCGGAGAUGCUCAGGUACGUCUGUUUUCUCUUCCUUCUUCCUUGUUUCAUUUCCUUACCUUCUUUUGUGAGUCUUCUACUUCUGAAAUUCUUAUGAGAGAGUAAUAAUUGAAGCUUCUUACAAUGAGUGCGUGAGAGUGUGGGGUGAGUGAAAAGUUUUUAGAGAAAACUGAUUUCAUACGGCUAAUGAUCGAACAAUGAUUGCUUUCAUAAAGUGGUGUAAAGGGGAGGGUAAUUUAGGGAAUGAAUGUGAAUCAGUUGAGUUUGCUUAACUGGAAAAAUGGAACAAAAUAUGUUAUAUUGAAUCUGCAAAAAAGGAUAAAUGAGUCACAUGGAAUUUUGGAUUAGCUCAGUGAAAAAGGCACGUGUUUUAAUCUUUAACUCAUUUGCUGCAACUUUGCACUUUGUAUCGAAAUGCGUUUUGGAUAUUUUCCGUGAACUGGUUUGCAUUAGGUGAAUUGGAUUUGGUUGUUGAUACAUGCCUGGAUAUUUUCUUUGGUUAUGGAUGGCCAUGACUUGCCUCAUAGGUGUUACUGCAGUCGAUGAUUGAGUUGAUGUGAAACUCGUGCAUUGCGGACUUUGAUGCAGGUUGCUGCAAGUUGUUGAUGGCUCAUUCGAUUUUGCUAUAGCUUGCAUAUUAGACCGUCAUGGUGAAGUUUGGAAACCUGGAGCAUGUGGUAUGAGUUGGCAUGGCCUAAAUACAUCAUGGUUGUGGAAUUCAAAGGCCAUGUAGAUGCUUGAUGACUCUUGAAGGAGCGUCAUGAGGAUGAUGAUUGUUGUCAAUGCAAACUCAAGACAAGCACAUAACCCUCCCUCCUUUCCUUCCUUUUAUUUCCACGUAAAUGCUAUGUAUGUAAUAGGAUUGUAAAAUUAUUCAUGUAAUGCAAUGCUUAUGUAUUUACUUAUGUAGUGUGCUUGUAAUGAAAACUCACUUGUGAUUCAAGUCCAAAAUAAUGUGAUACAAUUCAAGCUUGUGACUCAAAAUCAAAUUAAACUUUACUUUUCUUGGUAUGAAA